UACGGAGGAUGCGAGCGUUAUCCGGAUUUAUUGGGUUUAAAGGGUGCGCAGGCGGCACGGCAAGCCGGCGGUCAAAUCGCGGGGCUCAACCCCGCCCAGCCGUCGGAACUGCCGGGCUAGAGUGGGCGAGAAGUGCGCGGAAUGCGUGGUGUAGCGGUGAAAUGCAUAGAUAUCACGCAGAACUCCGAUUGCGAAGGCAGCAUACCGGCGCCCAACUGACGCUGAAGCACGAAAGCGUGGGUAUCGAACAGG
rnacentral:rRNA from 1 species